AACGUAUUUUGGAGUGUGUGUUUAUCAUGCAUAAAAGUAUAUUUCGAUAGGAAUACAAUAAAAUAGUGUGGUUUAAACUAAGUUUCGAUAAAGACAUGGAAGAUAGAAGUGGACGUGCAUAUCGUUUAAACGUUUUUGUUAUAAACAUCGGAUUAAAGUUGUCAACUUAAUAGUUAUAAAAAUUGGAUUAACGAUGGCAUUAAGCAAAAUUACCCUAUGAUCAGAUUUGCAAAGAAAGCCGAUUGAGCACUCCGGCUGUCAUUGACGAAAGUUAACAAAAACUACAUCAACAAUGGAAGCGGGAGUAGAGAGCCUUACUGCAACAAGCGCUCGUAUUAGAUCGUGACGGCCCAGAUAAAAUGUGGCCAUCAAUAAAGUGCUUCUGUAUCUCAUCAGGAUGCCAUGCAUCAUUUGUAAUCAGCGACGUCAACCCUUAGUGUGAAAUCCGAGGUAUCGUGGUACAUGAUCAUGACGUGGAUAUUGGCGGAUAUAGUAUACCUGUUCGCUUUAAUAGUUACGGUUGUGUAUUUCGGAGCGCUGUAUCCAUCGAUAGGUCAUACUAGUUACGGGGACGUAAACGUACAUGGCGUCAACAGCGUCCUCGUCUUGAUCGACGCCUUCGUCGUAGCUCGACCCGUUCGUCUUUUACACGCGCUG